GCAGAGGUUGCAGUGAGCCGAGAUCGUGCCAUUGAACUCUCGCCUGGGCAACAGAGCAAGACUCCAUCUUAAAAAAUAAAAAAUAAAAAACAAAGAUCCUAUUGUUGAAAAAUGAAACUUUAGACUGGAAGGAAUCUUAAGAGACCAUCUAGUUUAAUCCACUUAACAGAUGAGCAAAGCGAGGCUCAAGAGACCCACCUUAUGAGCCACUCCACAACUAGUGAGGACUCAGCAGAGUCCUUCUCAACACAGGAAAAUAUCACACUUCAUGCUUUCAAAGAGUUAACAAACAAAAGAGGUUGAUAUAAAGUGAAAGUAAUUAACUUCACGAGAACCCACCAGGCCCCCAGAGAAAACUAUUAGGCUGGUGCAAAAGUAAUUGUGGUAAUAACUAGCCUGAGACUCAGUAGACUAGACACAGAGAACCGAGACCCCUCCUUUACACUGAAGCUAGAAUCUCCGCUCCUAGGAAACUUUCUAAGAGAGUUUCAUCUCCUGGCCAGGCCUCAGCCCAGCUUCAUUUCAGAUCAAUAAACACUGAGCAUGACACUGUGGUGGGUGCUGGAAUCAAGGCUGAGGGAAGAAGCAAAAUGAAAUUUUAAAGAUUGGGUUGCAGAGGAGAAUGGAAACUUUUGGAUCAACGGCCUAGGCAAUUCAGAGCACCUCUGCUUCCAUGGCAUUUGCAUAACAUGUUUGUCCCCGUGGAGCUCUUUAGGAGCCUGUUAAACCACACACAGACUUUUAAUUUCCUGAAUGUAAUUUUACUUUACAUAUUAAAAAAAGCCACCCCCAAACCAAACUCCUUUUUCUCCCUGGCUUCUGUAUCUUUUCCACAUGCAGGGAGAGAUGAGGCUAGCUGACUGGGAGGAGGAGGUGGUUUGUUGCAAUUAGUACUGGUGAUCUAGUUGGAAGUCAGGAGCUCACCGAGUGUCUGCUGAAAGAGGCGGGAAAUCAAAACACCAGUAGAGACCAUGGCCAUGGGCGGUGACCACACCGAAUGCUGUGGUUUAGCUUUGCCACCAACCAGCACGUGACAGUCAAGAGAGGAGUGAAAAUGGCACAAAGGGACUGGCCAAACCUUUCAUUUACCUCCCUGACCAACAGCAAGAUUCGGAAGGCCAAGAUGAUGGUCUAUUAAUACCCUGAUCCUCACAUGACCAACAUGAAGCAGAUGAAAGAAAACAAAAGCCUCGGGUCGGCUUUUGAAGGGCAGUCAGCUGUGCACUGUGACUCAUCACUGGGUAGGAGGUGGGGCAAGGGGUUGGGAGGAAGGCAGCCAGAGCUCUGCCUGAAAUCCAUCCAAAACCCAGAUUCCAUGUGACUACCAUCUCAUGAGGGUGUCAGUUUUAAUCUUGUCAAAAUAUGCACCAAUCACAAGGACAAGUAAACUCUCAACACUAUGACUGUGCACUGGAGGAGAAACGAACUGUCUUUGGUCUGAUUAUCUUCUCUAAGGAGAAGGAGGAAUAUAGCAGCAAAAAUUUGUCAACUGACAGCAUAACGACAUGUUAACCAUUCUGUGCUUCAUCCUAUCUCAAGGGAAAGUCCCCCCUACCUUUUUUUUUUUUUUUAACUGUCAGACAGCUGUGGAGUCAGGAGAAAGAACCCUGGAAGAGGAGAAGACCUGGAUUCUCUAGCUGGGUGACCUUUGUAACUGUCAUUCAUUUAGCAAGUAUUUUCUGAGUGUCCACCCUGUGCUAGCAUCGUGGUAGGUGACAGGGACAUGAUGAUGAAGACACAUGAUCCCUACACUCAUGGAGUUUGCUCUUCAGCCUAGAGUGUAAGUCAUUUAAUCCCUCUGAACUCCUGAUUCUUCAUUUCUAAAAUGGAAAUAAAAAGACUACUUACUUCACAGGAUUGCUAUGAGAAUUAAGUAAGAUAAAUAUGUACAAAUCCACAGUAAAUACCAAACAUAAGGCAUUUUUAUUAUAAGAUAUUAUUUCUUUCCCUUUAAACUCCAGUCUUUUUGUGAAGUUUAAAGUUGACAUCAGGGGUUAGCAAACUUUUUCUGCAAAGUGCCAAACAGUAGGUGUUUUAAGGUUUGUGGGCCACGUGGUCUCUGUAGCAACUACUCCACCCUGAAGCUAUAGCACCGAAAUGGCUAUAGACAAUGUGUAAAUGAGUGGGCAUGGGUGUAUUCCAAUAAAACUUUAUUUACAAAAGCAGGUGGAGGGCCAGAUUUGGCACCUGGGCUAUGUCACAGUUUCUGGUAUAUAUCAUAAGAGUUUAAGAGUGAGGGCUCCAGAGGCAAACUGUCUGCCUCAGUUUUCCCAUCUUCAAAAUAUGCACAGUAAUAGUACCUACUUCAAAGUUGCUGUGAAGAUUAAAUGUAUUCACAUAGCACUCAUAACUGUGCCUGCUACAAAGAAUAUACUCGAUAAAUUAUUAUUGUUAGCUUUUACCAUAAUACAGAGCAUUACCAAGUAAAAUUAUUGCCAAUCAGGAAAUAGUGAGUUAACAGGGCAAAGUGCAACCCAUUUAAAGACCUUCAGAAUUGCUGUAUUUCAAUUGUAGCUGUUGUCAAACAAAUAAAUAAAUGCUUUCACACUGUAAUAUUCCUUUCUGUCAUUUUACUAUGUUGGUGAUACAUUUAAUAGCACCCUAUCUGUUGAUAAAAGUUAAUGCUGAUACAUUUUAUGACUUGCAUAGUUUUUCUACCAUGGAGUCUUAUUUUGCUAACAAUAACAAUAACAAUGGGGUGCUUACUAUGUGUCAGCAACUGCAGCUAAGCACUAUACAUUUGUAAUCUUGUUUAUCUUUUACAGCAACCCAGUGAGAUAGCUUCUCCAUUUAACCAUUGAGGAUAUUGAGGCUCAGAGAAGUACUCACCUAAAGCCAUACCAGCAGUAGCAAAUGCUGGAGCCAGGACUUGAGCCCAGAUAUGUCUAACAGAGAACACAUUUUCUUUUUUUUUUGUUGAGACAAAGUCUCACUCUGUCACCUAGGCUGGAGUGCAGUGGCACAGUCAUGGCUCACUGUAGCCUUUACCUCCGAGGCUCAAGCUAUCUUCCCACCUCAGCCUCCCAAGUAGCUGGGACCACAGGGGCACAGCACUAUGCCUGGCUAAUUUUUUUUAUUUCUAUUUGUAGAGACAGGGUCUUCCUAGUUACCCAGGCUGGCCUCGAACUUGUGGGAUCAAGCGAUCCUCGUGUUUCAGCCUCGCAAAGUGCUGGGAUUACAGGCAUGAGCCACUGUGCCUGGCAGAACAUAUAUUCUGACAGUUUCAGGACUUCAGUUUGUCAAGGCCAAUCAAUUUGCAUGGAGGGCCAAAUUUUACUCCAAAAUGGGAGCAAUACCAUUUAUUGUUAUGUUCUGGGGAAACAGAGUCUAGAAAAUUUUAUAUAAUAUUGGGCUGGGCGUGGCGGCUCACGCCUGUAAUCCCAGCACUUGGGGAGACUGAGGCAGGCGGAUCACGAGGUGAGGAGAUCGAGACCAUCCUGGCUAAUGGUGAAACCCCAUCUCUACUAAAAAUACAAAAAAUUAGCCGGAUGCGGUGGCGGGUGCCUGUAGUCCCAGCUACUCAGGAGGCUGAGGCAGGAGAAUGGCGUGAACCCGGGAGGCAGAGCUUGCAGUGAGCUGAGAUCACACCACUGCACUCCAGCCUGGGCGACAGAGCAAGACUCCAUCUCAAAAAAAAAAAAAAAAAAGAAAUUUUAUAUAAUAAUAUGUUGUGACUGGUAAACAACUUUUAAUAUUAAGGGCACUGUAAUGCUCAGAAAGUGCUACCAGCACAUUUAGGAUGAGGCAACUGCUUUGGGUAAACCACAGAGUCUACUUUCCACAUCAGCAUCACUCUAUAGGCCCAGAGCUACUACUAGGUAGUGAUGUAUGGAACUAGUAGUGAAGAGAGCAGAAUUUACCGAUUUUUAAAUUUUUUAAUUUUUGAGACAGAGUCUUGCUCUGUUGCCCAGGCUGGAGUGUAAUGGCGUGAUUUCGGCUCAUUGCAACCUCCACCUCCCAGGUUGAAAUGAUUCUCCUGCCUCAGCCUUCUGAGUAGCUGGGAUUACAGGCACCCGCCACCACACCUGGAUAAUUUUUGUAUUUUUAGUAGAGAUCGAGUUUCACCAUGUUGGCCAGGCUGGUCUCAAACUCCUCACCUCAAGUAAUCCACCUGCCUCGGCCUCCCAAAGUAUUGGGAUUACAGGUGUGAGCCCCCACACCUGGCCCUGGUUACUUUUGAGUUGACAAUGGCAGUUUAUUCCCCAUUACAUCCAUCUAACAGCGAUGUCUGGCUUGGCGAUCUUCCUUAAACUGAGCUCCCAUCUAUUCCAGCAACUGUCACCUCUGCCCUAUGGUUCUAUAGGCUGAAUGUCACAUCGCCAUUGGCCCCUGACCCACAAUCAUUCCCCUUCACUUUUGUUCCUUCCCAUUUCUAGGUUCUGCUUACAUUGCUUGUCCCUGCAAAGCCUUCCACUUGCCUUUCCAUCUGGCCAAAUCCUGGCCGUCCCUCAAGGAAGGAGAAUUUCAGGUUCUACCUCUUUCAAGAAGCCAUCUCCAAGGCUCCUAGACUGUACUAAUUCAACUUGCCAUUUGAAUAGUUAUACUUUGUCCCCCAGAGUAGCCCAGAAGUACCUGACAAGCAGGGGCUAGGUCUGACACGAUUCUCAAGUGGCUAUGGCAACACUAGGUGCUUGGGCCCAAAAUAGAAAUACCCGUUCAGGGGCUCAAAAGCAUUCAUUUAAAGCAAUUUGCCGCAUGUGGAGACCUAGAAGGAGGAUGCCAUCAAUUACCGCUCCUUGCCAUCAGAGACCUCUUCCUGUAGUGGACUCAUGAGGCCUUCAGAUUCUGGGUCCCAGAUACUCAGAGCACAGUAUAAAUACUCUUGGGAGCAUCCCUCCUUGGAUGAGAAAAGGUCUGUGGGACUGGCACUGAAAACCCAGCUCACCUGCCCAAUUUGGCACAUCCUAAGUUAUGAUAAGCCCCCAACAGAGCCUAGAUGCUUAGGUAGAAUUUUAAUAGAAAACAUUGACCAGGUGCGGUGGCUCAUGCCUGUAAUCUCAGCACUUUCGGAGGCCAAGACAGGUGGAUUACAAGGUCAAGAGAUAGAGACCAUCCUGGCCAAUAUGGUGAAACCCUGUCUCUACUAAAAAUACAUAAAUUAGC
rnacentral:lncRNA from 1 species